rnacentral:tRNA from 1 species
CCUUUGAUAGCUCAGUUGGUAGAGCAGAGGACUGUAGUAGAAACUGCUGGGAAUCCUUACUAUAGAUCCCUGGUUCUGAUCCAGCUCAAAGGG